rnacentral:rRNA from 1 species
AUGUGCGAAAGCGCGAACCAGCAACGCCGCGUGCACGAUGAAGGCCUUCGGGUCGUAAAGUGCUUUUAGAGAGGAUGAGGAAGGACAGUAAUUUCUGAAUAAGCCUCGGCUAACUACGUGCCAGCAGCCGCGGUAAAACGUAGGAGGCUAGCGUUAUCCGGAUUUACUGGGCGUAAAGCGCAUGCAGGUGGUUUUGUAAGUUGGAUGUGAAAGCUCCUGGCUUAACUGGGAGAGGUCGUUCAAAACUACAAGACUUGAGAUUGGUAGAGGAAAAUGGAAUUCCGGGUGUAGUGGUGAAAUGCGUAGAUAUCCGGAGGAACACCAGUGGCGAAAGCGGUUUUCUGGACCAAUUCUGACACUCAGAUGCGAAAGCUAAGGUAGCAAACG